GGGAGUGUUUUCAAAGAACCUUUCAAAAUUAGACUUAGCUGCACGGUUUAAUUGUUUGCUCAUUAGCGAGAAAUUGGACACUAAUGGAAUAAUUUUGUUCUUUUCACCCUCUUUAGGGUCCCUUGGAGUCCCGGGGAGGAGAAAAGUCUUCAGAGCCCUUCUUAAGAAGGACCUCGAGUAUCCUCUGUCCCUCAGGGCCCUGAACAGAAUUUUGGUUGCUUCCAUAAAACAGGAAUGUUCUGUGCAUAUCCUGUGAAAUCUGAGUAAUUGAGAUUUCACUAUACCUUUAAAUGUAUGUUUAGGAUGGAAGCUGUGUUUGUGCAGUAAGGAAUGCGUGUCCGUUUCUUUGAAAUACACUCUAAAGUCUAGCUGUCCUGUCUCUUCAAAUUUCUGUCCCUUAUAUGACACCACAUCUAGAAAGUUGACCUCUGUGGGGUCAAUUGUAUAUUUAAUUGUAAUCGAUCUCUGAUGGGUAUUCAAGUGUUCUGCAAAGUCCUUAAAAUCAUCCAUGGAGUAAGACCACACUCCCCAUAUGUCAUCCAGAAAUCUAAAGUAAUGCAGAGGCCUUUUUGUACACGAACCCAGAGCCGAUUGUUCCCAUCUCGCCAUGAAGAUGUUGGCGUAGGAAGGGGCAAACUUUUUGCCCAUGGCUGUGCCUUUAACUUGCAAAUAAUAUUUAGAAUUAAAUUCAAAGUCAUUUUUAGUUAAGUUUAUAUCUAAUAAUUUUAAAAUAUAAUCAUCAGGCCUUUUUGGGUCUGGAUAUUGAAGCAUGCACUCCUGGACCGCCUGGAGGCCUGCUUCAGUUUCUAUGUUCGUAUAUAAGCUGUCAAUAUCUAUGGUGAACAAAAAGGCUCCUCUGGGAAUACUGAUGUCUUUAACUUUCUGGAUGAAGUCAUAAGUGUCCUUCAGAUAGCUCGGGUGUUUCUGAGAGAUGGGGUUGAGAUAAUACUCGAUGUACUCAGCUGUCUGAUAAGUUUCACUGUUGCAAUCAGACACUAUGGGUCUGCCGGGUGGAAUCUCGUGUGGAAUACUCCAUUUUUCAGGCUCCUUGUGAAUCUUAGGCAAUAAAUAAAAUCUUCUCAUUCGAGGAGUGCCACUGCCGCUUAAAUAAUCCCUCUGUUUUGAGUUAAUGAUACCCUUGUCAUACAUCUGUUCUAAGAUUUUUCUAACCUGUUUCAUGGUUUCAAAAUAAAUGGGUUCUUCUAAGGGUUUGUAGUGGUCACUGAUGUUUAAUUGUCUCUCUCCCUCCCAGACAUAUUGCUCUCUAUCCAUGAUGACAAUGGCAUUUCCCUUGUCAGCAGGUUUAAUGACAAUUUCUCUGAGGUUUUUUAGUGUGUUCAAGGCCCUCAGUUCCUCCCUCUGGAGGUUGGGCCUUGGUUUCAAGCUCCAAUUCAAGUUCUUAUAAGCAUACUCAUCAGCUGUGAUCAGCUGGCCUACUUGUUUGGGAAGUCUGCUCAAGGCCGGAGUCCAAUCUGAAUUGUGUGUGAAAGAGAUAAUGUUUUCCAUUUUUUUGGAAGUUUCCCCCCUCUCUGUCUCCUGAGGAGCCCCUGGUUGAAGAGAUGUCACAGAAUAUUCUGAAAAAUCAAAGUCUGAGAGAUUGGGUGACCCUGACGGAUUUUGGAAGAUCUGGGCACUCUCAGCUGUGUCCCUUAGAGGAUUUACUCUAUGUACUGCAUUGGCUACAAUGGGGACCAGAGAAGGCAGGCCUGUGGUUAUCGGGGCCUCAGCCUCAGAGGGGGCAAAAGGAGAGAAAAGUUCCUGUGACAGCUGACCCGUAAACUCAUCUAAAUCAUCCAGUCUGUCACCCUGUGCAGGAGUUAACUGAUCCUCCUCCUCAUCAUCAUCAUCAAAACUCACUAAGAGAUUUUUCUCAGCUUGUUCUGUAACGACUGGUGGAGUUUUUGGUCUCUGUUCUGUCAGGUGUUUUUUCUUUUCUGGUCUUUUCCCCUUAGGAGACUGUAUAGGGGCCUGUAUAGGGGCCUGUACAGGAGGGUUCAGAGGUGGAAAAUCAUCUCCCAGAAGCCAGUCGUUCCUCAUAGGAGACCAGCCUGACAUUAAAGUGGGCGAUGUUUGUAUCUGGAUGUGUGUGACCCCUGUCUUAGGUCUGACGACCCCUGUGUUGACCGUUUCUGUCCCCUGCUGAGCUGAGGCUAGAUCUGCACCACUAACCACCUGAGCAAAUGUUCUGUUGUUACUGGUUUCAGAAUUCGAUGGUACUCUAGACCCGGAUGGAGUCCCAGAACGCAAUUCGGUCAGGACCAAAGUUUCGGCCUGCUGAAUUGCCCUCUGGGAGAUCCUUUUGCCAAAAUUUCUCAUCGCCCAUUUAACAGCGAUCUCAAAAGCGUGUAACCAGUCUUUUCUCUGUGUCUCUCCCCGUAAGAUCCCCAGUGUGUGCUUUAUGAUAUCCUCAUAAUGUUGCUGUAACACCAACUGUGUCGUAAACGCCCAGUUCUUUGCAUUACCCUCCAGCAAUUCUUUUGUGGACAUUGUGGGGGCAAAGGGUUUGAUCACACUUUUAAGAAGCUCUGUUAACCUUUUAAGAGUGACAGGCUGGUUAUCUUCUAUCCGUGUGUCAAUAUUACUGAGGUGAUGGACAGAUCUGAUCAGAUGAUACAUAUUCUUAAUAAUUCUCCGAAAAGUGGGAGAAGCAGGAGAGUAUUCUGUAUUUUUUUGUGAAUCAAAGUGACUUUUUUGGCCCAUUCUUUUUUUCUGGUGAACAUAUUUUUGUGCAAACUGGCCAUUCUCACGUCUCCUGUUCUUUUCUACAUUACGAGGAGAAUUUUGUGUGUUUCUGUAUCUCUGGUCAGUAAACCUGUUCUGUUCAGUGGGGUAAAAAAUCCUAUUUUCCCCAAAAGUCACUCUCUUUUGUUUGGGUUUAAAUCCCCGAUUUAAAGGGCGUCGAUCACGUGACUGACGACGGAAAGGAUUUACAGUAUUCUCCGAUCGAGUUUCAUUCUGUACUCUGUUACUGUAACCCGCGAGUGAUUCUCCGUGUCUGAUGACCUCAUAUGGGAAGUCACGAGAUCGCUCGACAAAAUAAUCGUCCCUCAUAAAUCGUCCCCGUCUGGGGAAAUCCCUGUUAUCUGUGUGAGGGAUCAGACGCGCUCGAGGGGUCGUGAAACGACCCUUGUUCUGAAAAACGAACACCAUCCUUAUUUUACUGAACGAUCAAAUCCACAACUGUGUAUUCUUUUAAUCUUUUAUUCUAUUUCUGAAAAUUUAAAAAAAAUGUUUUUUUGUCCUUUUAUAUUUUUUUAACUUUUUUUUGGAUUUUCUUGUGUUUUUUUUAACAAUAAAGAGAUAAACCAA